rnacentral:rRNA from 1 species
GAUGAACGCUGGCGGCGUGCCUAACACAUGCAAGUCGGACGAAGCACUUUAGCUUGAUUCUUCGGAUGAAGGCUAUUGUGACUGAGUGGCGGACGGGUGAGUAACGCGUGGGUAACCUGCCUCAUACAGGGGGAUAACAGUUAGAAAUGACUGCUAAUACCGCAUAAGACCACGGAGUCGCAUGACUCAGUGGGAAAAACUCUGGUGGUAUGAGAUGGACCCGCGUCUGAUUAGGUAGUUGGUGGGGUAACGGCCUACCAAGCCGACGAUCAGUAGCCGACCUGAGAGGGUGACCGGCCACAUUGGGACUGAGACACGGCCCAAACUCCUACGGGAGGCAGCAGUGGGGAAUAUUGCACAAUGGGGGAAACCCUGAUGCAGCGACGCCGCGUGAGCGAAGAAGUAUUUCGGUAUGUAAAGCUCUAUCAGCAGGGAAGAAAAUGACGGUACCUGACUAAGAAGCACCGGCUAAAUACGUGCCAGCCGCCGCGGUAA